GUCCAGACUCCUACGGGAGGCAGCAGUGGGGGAUAUUGCACAAUGGGGGGAACCCUGAUGCAGCGACGCCGCGUGGGUGAAGAAGCGCCUCGGCGCGUAAAGCCCUGUCAGCAGGGAAGAAAAUGACGGUACCUGAAGAAGAAGCCCCGGCUAACCACGUGCCAGCAGCCGCGGUAAUACGUAGGGGGCAAGCGUUAUCCGGAUUUACUGGGUGUAAAGGGGGCGCAGACGGCGAUGCAAGCCAGGAGUGAAAGCCCGGGGCCCAACCCCGGGGCUGCUCUUGGAACUGCGUGGCUGGAGUGCAGGAGGGGCAGGCGGAAUUCCUGGUGUAGCGGUGAAAUGCGUAGAUAUCAGGAGGAACACCGGUGGCGAAGGCGGCCCGCUGGACUGCAACUGACGUUGAGGCCCGAAAGCGUGGGGAGCAAACAGGAUUAGAUACCCUAGUA
rnacentral:rRNA from 1 species